GCGCAGGAAAAGAAACCAACAGGGAUUGCCUUAGUAACUGCGAGUGAAGCGGCAAAAGCUCAAAUUUGAAAUCUGGCGUCUUCGGCGUCCGAGUUGUAAUUUGGAGAGAUUUCUUCGGGGUGAACACCGGUCCAAGUUCCUUGGAACAGGACGUCACAGAGGGUGAGAAUCCCGUGUCUGACCGGUUGCUUCAUUCCAUGUGAAGAGUCUUCGACGAGUCGAGUUGUUUGGGAAUGCAGCUCAAAAUGGGUGGUAAAUUUCAUCUAAAGCUAAAUAUUGGCGAGAGACCGAUAGCGCACAAGUAGAGUGAUCGAAAGAUGAAAAGCACUUUGAAAAGAGAGUUAAAAAGUACGUGAAAUUGUUGAAAGGGAAGCGCUUGAGACCAGACUCAAUUUGUGGUGAACAUCAGUCCUUCUGGGCUGUGCACUUGCCACUUUUUGGGCCAGCAUCGGUUCUGACCGUGUGAUAAAGGUCCUGGGAAUGUAGCUCCUCUCGGGGAGUGUUAUAGCCCAGGGCGUAUUGACAUGAGUUGGGACCGAGGACCGCGCUUCGGCUAGGAUGCUGGCAUAAUGGUCUUCAGCGACCCGUCUUGAAACACAGACCAAGGAGUCUAACAUCUAUGCGAGUGUUCGGGUGGAAAACCCUUGCGCGUAAUGAAAGUGAACGGAGGUGGGAACCCCUCGGGGUGCACCAUCGACCGAUCCUGAUGUUCUCGGAUGGAUUUGA
rnacentral:rRNA from 1 species